GAGUAGCAGACCAAUCAGCAGCAGACCCUCCCUCCCAGACCCUCCCACUUCCUGGAUAGCUCACUAAGAAUACAGCUUCACAAUGGAUGCUGUCCAGGAGGUGGGAGGGUCUGGGAGGGAGGGUCUGCUGCUGAUUGGCUUGAAUGU
rnacentral:miRNA from 1 species